AACGCACGAGACCUGCGGACCUGCGGAGGGAUCAUUACAGAUAUACAUAACAUAUAUCUUCCAACCCCCUUCAUUGUGAACUUUUGGUGCAAGUCAAGCUAAAGCCCCUAUCUAGAUAGGGGCACUGCCCCUAUUCAUUUAGGGGUAUUAGCCUUGCAAACCAAACUUUUUCAUAUACACAACCACUACACAUGUUACUAUGCAUGACCUAUACAAUAAAAAUAACUUUCAACAACGGAU
rnacentral:misc_RNA from 1 species